CGAGACCUCAGGUCAGGCGGGGCUACCCGCUGAGUAAA
rnacentral:rRNA from 1 species